rnacentral:rRNA from 1 species
UGGGGGAUAUUGCACAAUGGGGGGAACCCUGAUGCAGCGACGCCGCGUGGGUGAAGAAGCGCCUCGGCGCGUAAAGCCCUGUCAGCAGGGAAGAAAAUGACGGUACCUGAAGAAGAAGCCCCGGCUAACUACGUGCCAGCAGCCGNGGUAAUCUCGAUCU